UUUCCGGUUGAUCCUGCCAGAGGUCACUGCUAUCGGGGUUCGAUUAAGCCAUGCGAGUCGAGAGGGUUCGGCCCUCGGCGUACUGCUCAGUAACACGUGGAUAACCUGCCCUAGGGAAGGGGAUAACCCCGGGAAACUGGGGAUAAUACCCUAUAGGUUACAGAUGCUGGAAUGCUCUGUAACCCAAAGUUCCGGCGCCCUAGGAUGGAUCUGCGGCCGAUUAGGUUGUUGUUGGGGUAAUGGCCCAACAAGCCAGUAAUCGGUACGGGUUGUGGGAGCAAGAGCCCGGAGUUGGAUUCUGAGACACGAAUCCAGGCCCUACGGGGCGCAGCAGGCGCGAAAACUUUACAAUGCGGGCAACCGUGAUAAGGGAACCUCGAGUGCCUGUAAAUGCAGGCUGUUUAGGUGUUUAAAACGCACCUGGAGAAAGGGCCGGGCAAGACCGGUGCCAGCCGCCGCGGUAAUACCGGCGGCUCGAGUGGUGGCCACUUUUAUUGGGCUUAAAGCGUUCGUAGCUGGGUUGUUAAGUCUCUUGGGAAAUCUGGCGGCUUAACCGUCAGGCGUCUAAGGGAUACUGGCAAUCUUGGAACCGGGAGAGGUGAGGGGUACUUCGGGGGUAGGAGUGAAAUCCUGUAAUCCUCGAGGGACCACCUGUGGCGAAGGCGCCUCACCAGAACGGCUUCGACAGUGAGGGACGAAAGCUGGGGGAGCAAACCGGAUUAGAUACCCGGGUAGUCCCAGCCGUAAACUAUGCGCGUUAGGUGUAUCGGUGACCACGAGUUACCGAGGUGCCGAAGGGAAACCGUGAAACGUGCCGCCUGGGAAGUACGGUCGCAAGGCUGAAACUUAAAGGAAUUGGCGGGAA
rnacentral:rRNA from 1 species